rnacentral:rRNA from 1 species
CCUACGGGAGGCUGCAGUCGAGAAUCAUUCACAAUGGGGGAAACCCUGAUGGUGCGACGCCGCGUGGGGGAAUGAAGGUCUUCGGAUUGUAAACCCCUGUCAUGUGGGAGCAAAUUAAAAAGAUAGUACCACAAGAGGAAGAGACGGCUAACUCUGUGCCAGCAGCCGCGGUAAUACAGAGGUCUCAAGCGUUGUUCGGAAUCACGUGGCGUAAAGCGUGCGUAGGCUGUUUCGUAAGUCGUGUGUGAAAGGCGCGGGCUCAACCCGCGGACGGCACAUGAUACUGCGAGACUAGAGUAAGGGAGGGGGAACCGGAAUUCUCGGUGUAGCAGUGAAAUGCGUAGAUAUCGAGAGGAACACUCGUGGCGAAGGCGGGUUCCUGGACAUUAACUGACGCUGAGGCACGAAGGCCAGGGGAGCGAAAGGGAUUAGAUACCCCGGUAGUC